GACGGGGGGUCCAAGCGUUGUUCGGAAUCAUUGGGCGUAAAGGGGGCGUAGGCGGCCUUGCAAGUCAGAAGUGAAAGCCCUGGGCUUAACCCAGGAAGUGCUUUUGAUACUGCCGGGCUUGAGUGUGGGAGAGGAUAGUGGAAUUCCUGGUGUAGUGGUGAAAUACGUAGAUAUCAGGAGGAACACCGGUGGCGAAGGCGGCUAUCUGGCCCAACACUGACGCUGAGGCCCGAAAGCGUGGGGAUCAAACAGG
rnacentral:rRNA from 1 species